UUCAACAAAGAUCUUUGAUCACAUGCCCUGUGAUGGGACCCGUUUUGGGCAUAGAUAUUCCUGAAAGUGAAGAAAACAGAUAAAAUCCCAGCUUGCAUGGAGUUUUCAUCAGGAUUUUACUGACCAGGAUCAGGAUCAGGAUUUUACUGACCAUACACAAAGCAAAUGAAUAUGCAAGUUCAGUUGACACAGGACAGGAAAACUCCAGUCAUCCUCAAGGGAAAAGAGGUCCUGAAAAGAGGAAACAAGGAGAGACCUCACGGAGUCAAAACAGGUGUUCACAGGCAUUGAAUACGGAAAAUGACUCAAGCUGCUUAGGAUGAGACGCAUGGUCAGAAUGGUUCAGCACAAGGGAUAUAUAACACCCUGAGGAUUAAAACAAAGGUAGUGUCUAGAAUGUUGCUGAAUAUGACAAAGAACUUUUAGAUUAGAACUCCAGGAAUGAAGAAGAUGAAGAAAAACAGACCUCAUGAUUAUCAGCUAAGGCCACUCCUAGCUCAAUCAUGUGUAGUCAGUGACUAUACAUACCAUCAGUAAAAUAAAUAAAUAUUAUAUCUAUUUAAUUGUUCUAUA
rnacentral:lncRNA from 10 species